GGCUUCCCACUGUGAACUUGGCUUCUUCUACUCUGGAACCCCCUCUGAAGCCCACUAGGAGGUCUGAAGCAACCUUUGAAGGCUCCUGGUGUGAAGUUGGUCAGCAGUGAGUUUAGAGAGAUGAAGACAUGUGUCCUGUUUCUGGCAGCUCUGCUGCUCCCUAGCAUCCGAGCAGUUUGUCCAGAUAAGGAUCCAGGACUGCAGCCAUGGAUGCCGGGACACAGUGAAGACCACCGUGUUACUAUUGGUUAUGGCAGGAAGGUCCUCCUCACAACUUCAGCUACAGUCCACUCCAUCGAAAUCCUCAGUGGAGGAAAGCUGGUGAUUGCUGACACCAACCGGCCCAUACUGCUUCGAACAAAACACAUUCUGAUUGGGAACAAAGGGGAGCUGCACAUCGGAAGCCCAGACUGUCCUUAUAAAGGCAACCUCAACAUUUCCCUGUUUGGAAGAUUGGAUGACAGUGAUCAGGAACACAGUUACUUUGGCCGGAAGUACAUUGGCGUAGGGACCGGAGGGACACUCGAGAUCCACGGAGCACAGAAGCUGUCAUGGACUUUUCUCAACAAGACCCUCAACCCUGGAGAGAGCAACCAAAACAACUACCUGUUCCAGAGAAGCUGGGGGAACCGAGGCAUCAUUAUCCACGUCAUCGACCCCAAGACCGGAGAGGUGCUGCGUGAUGACAGGUUUGACACAUACCGCAGUAAAGAUGAGAGUCGUCGUCUUACGAAGUAUGUGGAUAGUGUGGAGGCAGGACUCAUAAUGGCCAUGGUGGUUAACGACGAGGGCUCCAACAACUUGGAGGACUCAGCCAAGAAGAGCCUCUCCAGAUUGGGCAGCCAGCACAUCAGCAGUCUGGGAUUUCGGCAUCCCUGGACUUUUAUAGUUGUGAAAGGAGAUUCUUCAUCUGUUGUGGAGGAUCAUGCUGUCUAUCAAGGAACCAAGGCCUCCUCAGAGGCCCGGAGCUCUCGUGUUUUCCAGUGGAGUUAUGGAGAGCAUUUCACCAUCACUGCCAGCAGCCAGUGGGUGCAAGAGGCAGAGUGGACGGAAUGGUUUGACAGGGAUGAUGAGAGGGGAUCUGGAGAUUGGGAGAAAUUAUCGGACCUACAUGAGGCUUAUCCAGACCGGCUGUGUAGCAGUCCACUGGACAUCCAGGCUGAAACCCUUGAUGGCAUACCUUCCAACCAGACAGGAGACGUGAUCCAUAAGAAAACCAAGGACUAUGGUUUUGUCUGCCUCAACAAGGACCAGGCUCAUGGCCUCUGUCGCAACUACAGAGUUCGUUUCCUUUGUGGAAAACUUGUUCGUCCACAGGCCUCCAUUACCAUCGACAUGCUGUCCAACAGCAGCAUCCUGGAGCUCGCUGACCAUCCAGAGGGCUGGGGAUCCGGAGAUCGGGUGGUGGUGGCCAGUACUGACUACUCCAUGCACCAGGCUGAGGAGUUCACCCUGCUUCCCUGCCCUACCUGCAAACCCAACCAGGUCAAGGUCCAAGGUAAGGCCCAGUUCAUCCACAUGGGUGAGGAGGUGAAUGGAGUGGAUAUGAGGGCGGAGGUCGGCCUGCUGAGUCGUAACAUCCUGCUCCGUGGUGAGAUGGAACCUGCCUGCUAUGGCAACGAGCUCUGCAAAUUCUUUGAUUUCGACACUUUCGGAGGACAUUUGAAGGUAGAGCGAGGCUUCAAGGCAGUUCAUAUAUCUGGCAUGGAGCUUCAGCACAUGGGUCAGCAGACAAUGGGACACUAUCCUGUCCACUUCCAUAUGAAUGGUGAUGUGGACGAGAGGGGAGGCUACAACCCCCCCACCUUCGUCAGUGAUCUAUCCAUCCACCACUCCUUCUCUCGCUGUGUAACCAUCCAUGCCUCCAACGGACUACUGGUAAAGAAUGUAGUGGGCUACGACUCGCUGGGACACUGUUUCUUCACAGAGGAUGGACCGGAGGAGAGGAACACAUUCGACCACUGCCUAGGUAUGAAGGUGCGAGCGGGGAGUCUGCUGCCGUCAGACAGAAACAGCAAAAUGUGCCGUUACAUCACCGAAGGAGCCUACCCAGGAUACGUGGCCAACCCACGCCAAGACUGCAGUGCAACUUCGACUUUCUGGAUCGCCAAUCCCAAUAACAACCUCAUCAACUGUGCAGCUGCAGGCUCAGAGGAAACAGGUUUCUGGUUUAUCUUCCACCAUGUGCCCACUGGACCAUCAGAGGGUCUUUACUCUCCCGGACACACUGAACACGUACCUAUGGGCCACUUCACCAACAACAGAGCUCAUUCCAACUACAGGGCUGGAAUAAUCCUUGAUAACGGAGUAAAGACCACCCAGGCAAACGACAAGGACAAGAGACCCUUCCUGUCUCUGGUUGGAGCCAGGUAUGGCCCCCAUCAGGAUGCUGACCCUUUCAAACCCAGAGUCCCUGCCCUCAUCCACCACCUCGUAGCCUAUAAGAACCAGGACCACGGAGCCUGGCUGAGAGGAGGGGAUGUGUGGUUGGAUGACUGCCAAUUCGCCGAUAACGGUAUUGGCCUCACUCUGGCGAGUGGAGGAACGUUUCCAGAUGACGACGGCUCUCGUCAGCAGGUGAAGAACUCACUGUUUGUGGGUGAAAGUGAUAAUCGUGGGAUGUCUCUCCCUGACAACCAUAACUGGGGCCCAGGAGGUGCUGACCACACCGGCAGGACCCUACCACGUGGCAUUGAUUUCCCCAUCCGUGGCAUGCAGAUCUACGACGGGCCCAUCAACGUGCAGAAUUGUACAUUUCGGAAAUACACGGCACUGGAUGGACGACACACCAGCGCUUUCGGCUUCAGGCUCAACAACUCGUGGCAGAGCUGCCCCAACAAUAACGUCACCGACAUCACUUUCGACCAAGUACCUAUCACAUCUCGGGUGUUUUUUGGGGAGCCUGGUCCCUGGUUUAAUAAGAUGGAGAUGGACGGGGACAAGACGACCAUCUUCCACGAUAUCGACGGCUCGGUCAGCGAGUAUCCCGGAGCGUUCCUGGUGAAAGAAGACAACUGGCUGCUUCGCCACCCUGACUGCAUCGAUGUACCCGACUGGAAGGCCGCUAUCUGCAGCGGCAACUACGCUCAGAUCUACGUCCAGACACGUAACCCUGCCAACCAGAACAUGUACAUGGUGAAGGACGAGUACCCUGAUCGGCCCCUCACACUAGAGGGCGCUCUGGGGAAGAGGAAGCACUACCAGCAGUUCCAGCCAGUGAUCACACUUGCCAAAGGCUACACCAUCCACUGGGACCAGGUGGCACCCGCUGAGGUCACCAUCUGGCUCAUCAACUUCAGCAAAAAUGACUGGAUCAGUGUGGGCCUCUGCUACCCACAAGGCACCACCUUCACCAUCCUCUCAGACAUCCACAACCGCUUGACCAAACAGACCCGCAAGACUGGAGUCUUCAUGAGGACCACACAGAGGGACAAGAUCAACCACUCCCACCUGGCCAGAGGCUAUUACUACUGGGAGGAAGACACUGGCCUGCUGUUCCUGAAGGUGAAGGCCCACAACGACAGGGAGCAGUUUGCCUUCUGCUCCAUCAAGGGAUGUGAGAGAGUAAAGAUCACAGCCGUCAUCCCUACAGGCAGCCCACCCAGCAACUGCAUGGCCCAGGCCUAUCCCAGACACUCUGAGCUGCCUGUUGUGGAUGUUCCCAUGCCCAGAAAGAUUCCCAACGCCAGGCUGCACUCAGCGGAACACUUCCUCGAGGUCAAACUGGAGUCCUACAACACUCGCUUCUUCCACAUCAAGGAGGACUUUGCUUUCACUGAGGUGAAUGGCAGGAAGCUGUACCAACCAGAUGAUGGGGUUCAGCUGACCGUAAUCGACGGGCAUGAUGGGAAGGUGGUGGAGAGCAAAGGCUUCAGGAACUCAAUCCUACAGGGCAUCCCUACUCAGCUGGACAAAUACAUCAGUGGACUGAGAGACGGUUCUGUUGUUCUCGUGACGUCCAAAGGCCGUCUGGUGACUCGAGGAGCCUGGACUAAAGCCCUGGAGAGACUUGGUGCAGACAAAGGCAUCAAACUGAAAGAUAAGCUGGCAUUUGUGGGCUUCAAGGGCUCCUUUAAACCUGACUGGGUCCAUCUGGAGGCGGAUACUGACCGAGCCAAGAUCCAUCAGGUCCUGCCUGUCCCUGUGGUCCACAAGAUGAAGCUAUGAGUGGCAGACAGAGUGGGGAAGACAACCAAGAGACUAUGUAGCCCCCAUAUACUGGCACUCAUACCCCCCACAAGAAUACACAAGCACACACACAAAUACGCACGCACACACACACACACACACACACACACACAGCCAGCACUGCAGUGUGACAGUCGGUUGCUCCGAGCCAUUGGUCCAGGAUCUAGUGGUGUUUUUUUUCCAGGCUCGACACAGAGAAAGAAUGAUGUGAUUCAAUGUGUUGAUAAGGGAAGACCCCCAAACACCAAGAGCCAGCACUGCCCAUGUUGAACUGUAAGUGUGUAAGACCCCCAACAUCAGUAGAGGGCUUUAAUAAGGUGAGAACGCACCCUCUGGCGGCCAUAUUGGAGGUUCCUUGGCAACAGUGGCUCACAACAGCGACAUUAAUAGACACUAACAUGUUUGCUCAUCGUUGUGUUUAUAGCUUGUUAGCUUGUCUGCUACGUAACCAUUGGAUUUGGACAGCUUAACAUUAUUGCCAUGCUGUAAAAACAUCUGUUUUAUACACCAGCAAACAUUGACCGUAAUACAGGUUCAUCUUCACAUCAACAUCGGCCUAUUUGCUAAAUGAGCUAGCAGGCCUGGUCUGACAUUGUCAAGAAACACCUCGUUUAGCUUUGGUCUAGAGACUGACAUGACAGUUCAACCUUCAAAUACUUCAUAGUACUCUGUUCUCUAACAGACUUCGCUGUUGGUUUGACCCACCUGACAUCUACAGUGUCAGGAUGCUGACCUCCUUGAGUCAUGAAGCUAAAUCUAAAUGAAGACGCUCUCUGGUGACACAGUCAGGUGACGGGUGUGAACAUGUCUGAUAGCAAGACACAAUAAUCGGCCAACUGGUUUAGUCAGUCACUGCACAAAGGCGUUCAUGGUGCUCUUGUUGAUUAUACACAGGAAAGUGACGGAAGUAGUCGAGUGUGAGGAAUGAAAGGAGAUCUUGAGACAGAAGUUCAAACUCUGCACCAGGGAGCAUGCUGGUCAGAUUGUCAAGUUUGGAAAGUUCCGAAAGUUGUCAGAUGUAGGUUGAAAGAGAAGUUCACACUUUACCUACAGUGUCACUACAGCACACCUCACCAAUCGCUGUAUGAAGUAGGUGUGAUUGAUUAUAAUAAUUAUUAUAAACUUCAUUUAUAUAGCACUUUUCUUAACAAUGUUUGCAACAAGUGCUUGACACAACAUAAUAAAACAGAACAAGGCAGAUACAAAUGUUUUGAGAAGUUUAGGAGAGUAGUGAUUAGUGAUUUACUAGCUAGGAGCUUGAGUUAAAAGAGUGAAAUCUAAAUCAAUUUAUGAAUUCUCAAGUCAAGAUAUUUGCCAGCUUCAGUGGAUAGUCUGUGUAUCCCAUCCAUCUUUUUUGGUCAGGGUCAGGUUGGCAGCAGGCUGAAAAAAAAACUGGCCCAGGUGUCAUCAUCCCUAACCACAUCCAGCCAGAUGACAUAUGUAAUCCCUCCAGCAUGUCCCCACUCAUUUGGGUGUGCCUGGAAAUACUUCCAUAGAGGAAUCCAGGAGGCAUCCAGAUCAUGUGCAUGAGCAACCUAGAUGGGCUUCUUUCAAGUACCCUUUUGAAUCAUAUAAUAAUAGACAGAACAGUCUCACCUGGGAAGGAAACUGGGCCCCUUCCUGGAGCUAGAUGUGGUAGAAGAGCUUGUAUGUGAGUGCUGGGUGUUUGGGCAUGUUGGAGACACCUAUGGGGUCGUCAUGGUGUGGGCUCACCAGCUACAAAUUUGCUAAGAAAGCUAUGAAAUUUGAAUCAAAACAGGUCAAGAAAGCAAUAAAAAGCCCUUUGGUCCAUCAACAAGUGUUUGGCAUGUUGCCAGCCGGGUUGCCGGUUAGCUGGCCAUGCAUCUUGGUCUGGCAUCUCCCACAAGCCGUGGUGACAGCUGCACAGAACAUACCAGCUCUUUCCACCUCCCAGGACUAUGUGGUUUAUCAGCAGCUGCUUGCCAAAUAGUGUCCUGUAGACAAAAGCCACUGAGCAGUGUACUUGCUGCCUGCAGGUAUGCGUCUGCCCAUGAAGACUGUAACCAUUAGAGAGCUGAGAGGGUUCUCAUGAGUUCCUGUAGGGCAGUGUUCUCCAACCCUGCUCCUGGAGAGCUACUGCCCUGCAUGUUUUAGGUAUCUCCUCACUCUAACACACCUGAUUCUAAUGAUGAACUAGUAGUAGCUCACCAGGAGCAGGGUUGGAGACCACUGCUGUACUGUAUGGGGGUUCAUACGUUGAGGCCUUCCAACUAAAAACAGCCUAGGGUGUCAAACUAAUAGCCACGUCUGUUACAGAUCUAUGCAUGUGCUCACAGAACUGAAGUCAUACAUUCUAACCUCCUACACAACCAAAGACAAUCAUAUGCAAAUAUUUUGUGUUCGCAAAAAACAUUUAGAAGAAAACAUGAUGUUAACUGCCGAGUAAGGAGAAAACUAUUACUUCACUCAAACUGUUCCUUCAAAAUUGAAAGGUCCUGGAAAAAAAAGGUUAAAUUCCUUUUCUAAACAAUCUGCUGGGAAAGUUUAUUCUUGUUCAUGGAAAUAGUAUAAAAACUAGGUAAAAAUAGAUUAAAAAGACAAUAAAAGUAAUAUAAAAGAUGAUGUUUAAUUAAAGCUCGACUAAAACUAGGUUAAAAAAGAGAUUAAAAGACAAAAAGAGACAAAUAAAAUAAGAUAAAACUAUAGAAUGGUAAUAGAAUAAUGUAAAAAAAUUAAAACAAAUACAAUAAAAUAGAAUAAAAAGACUACGAAAAAAAUCCGUUCUUAAUCAAAAGCCAGGUUGAACAGGUUAAAAAUGUCUAAACAAACCAAACCAAACAGGUUCAUGUAUCUUGGAGUAAUAACUAACUCACUAUAAUUAGCUUUAACACAGAGUGAACACUGCAAAUAAAAAUAAAUUAACACAAAUCAUUUCCAUAUGACUGUAGUUUGUAGGACAUUGGGUUUGCCAGUUCUCUGAGUCACAGUAAGUUACAUCUGAGGUAUGACAUCAUCACUUUUACAUUAUAAUCUAACAGUAAUUGUUGCUAUGAUUUUGUUGUUGUUUUUCUAGUCUGAUUGUUUAUUUGAUAUUCACACAUUACUAACUACUGACCAAUACUCUGAUGGACCUCCAUAAUGUCAGCCAUGGUUGCUAGGCGAUUUGUGAUGCAACUGCAAAGCCUCAAUAUCGACAGAGGGGACAAAUACUAAGCAAGUGUGAGCCUGCUAAUCAAACGCAUGUAUAUGUGCAUCAAUGAGAACCCUUCCCACACGCAGGUCUCUGUGAUAUGUGACAGACAUAGAAGUUUGAGUGCUUUGAUUGUCUUGCUUUGUUUGAUUAAAGUGUGUAAAGAAAGAAAAGAAAAGAAGAAAAAAAAGAAACGUUCCUCGUUUGCAUCCAAACCAGUGGUUGUUAACUAGCUCUGUUUCAUUCCGAGCACUCGCUCACUUGAUAUCGUGAUGUUUUUUCCUCUGUUUGUUUCAUAUCCGUGUUUGUGAUCCAUCUGUCUUUGUUUAUGCAGUGAACCAGCAAGAAAGCCCACAACAAUAUACAAGAUGAAAUUCAAUUUUCCACUGAAUGUUAAAUCAGGAAACUUUAAAAAUGUGCAAUUCCCCCCCCCCCCCCCCCAUUUCAAAAUGACAGAGAAAUCUUUGUUCCAAUCUGGCUUGAAAAAAGAUUUCCCCCCCCUCCCUUUGCCGAAAUAGCUGGUCUUUUUUCGGAGGUUGUAGCCGUAAUUGAGUGUUUUGUAUGUUUAAUGUGUUUUUAAAAAUUCAGAUUGAUAAGAGAUAUAUUUUAUACUUAUUUAUUGUACAGACCCCGUUGAUCCAAGUCUAUAAGAAACAUCUUUUGAGUUGUAAUGUUAUUCCUGUCCUGUAUGUAUACUGUAUGUAAGAAAGCAUUAUAGUUCCAUUUUAAGACUUGUACCAGACACUCACUGCAUACAUACAUAUGACUUGUUUUCACUGUACACCAAAUGGAUGUGUUGUAUAUGUGGCUUGAGCUUGUAAAGUGAUGAAACUCCUUUUUUUUUGUUUUCCUUUGAAGACUUUUGUACAGAAAUAAAUGAUGGUGAACAGUUUGUCUGACUGUCACUUUGACUGAAAGUUA